CAUGCAGUCGUACGAGAAAUCCCGAGCUUGCUUGGGAGAGUAAAGUGGCGCACGGGUGAGUAACGCGUGGGUAACCCACCCUCGAAUCUGGGAUAACUCCGCGAAAGCGGUGCUAAUACCGGAUAAGACCACAUUCCGUUUGCGGAAAGAGGUAAAAGCUGACCUCUCCAUGGAAGUUAGCGUUCGAGGACGGGCCCGCGUCCUAUCAGCUUGUUGGUGGGGUAAUGGCCUACCAAGGCAGCGACGGGUAGCUGGUCUGAGAGGAUGAUCAGCCACACUGGAACUGGAACACGGUCCAGACUCCUACGGGAGGCAGCAGUGAGGAAUUUUGCGCAAUGGGGGAAACCCUGACGCAGCAACGCCGCGUGGGUGAAGAAGGCUUUCGGGUCGUAAAGCCCUGUCAGGUGGGAAGAAACUCUUCAGUACUAAUAAUGCUGAAGCCUGACGGUACCACCAGAGGAAGCACCGGCCAACUCCGUGCCAGCAGCCGCGGUAAUACGGAGGGUGCAAGCGUUGUUCGGAAUCAUUGGGCGUAAAGAGCGUGUAGGCGGCUAGGAAAGUCAGAUGUGAAAGCCCUGGGCUCAACCCAGGAAGUGCAUUUGAAACUCUCUAACUUGAGUACGGGAGAGGA
rnacentral:rRNA from 1 species